rnacentral:lncRNA from 1 species
CUUGGCUUCUUGUUUUAUAAAACACUAGAGUCUAUGAUGAACAAAAGCCCAGAGGUUAAAUAUUAUCACUUGUAACUUUAAAUACAAAGCACUAAACACACUUAAAGUCACCUGUAAUGAUAUUUAACUCUUGGUUUCUUGUUAAGUAUAUAGCGUAUGAAAACUGAUUAAACAAGAUAUAUUAUAUCUUAUAUUUAUUUAUUUCUCUCUAUGAAAUAAUCGUAAGCUCAGCCCCCUUCUGUCAUUACUAAUGUCAGUCUCAUUCUGAUGGACAGUUUAUAAAGAGCAGGAGACUUCACUCUUCUCACAGUCAUGGACUUCUCUGCACAGGAAUAAAAUCAGGUUCUUUUUUACUUAAGUUAUUAUUAAUACCAUUACAGUUGUUGUUGUUUUUCUAAUCUUAGCUUUGACUUCCAUCACUAUUAAAUACUGACCAAAGUUUAAUGUUUUAAUGUAACAGAGUAUCCAGAACCAUGGGUGCCCAGGUUUCAGUCGUCAAUCAGACUCCUUACACCUGGUACUUUGCCACUCAAGACAGAGGGGUAAGAUCUUACAGUGCAUUCACUACACAAGAUUAUUUAUGCAAUUCUAGAUUAUAAAUCCUGAUUUAUGGUUCAUUUUUUCCUAGUUAGCAUGUCCUAUAAUUAGCCAGACAAUUACUGAGAAUGGCAUAAUAUCUCACAACAAUAAAUUUGUAUUUAUAUGUCAUUUUUUACUGCUUUUCUGAUGAAAAAACGGAUGUCAAAUUCUGCUUUUCAGUAUACAUACAUCGGUCCUGGCAGCACAACAUCCUAUAAAGAGUCUCUGGCAAUCCAUCGCUACAUCCACAUCAGAUAUGAAAAUCACUCGUGGAAUAGUUUUUCAUACGAGUUUAACACCCAUAAAGGUGACACAUCUUUUAUCCUAAGAGAAACCUACGACCGUUCCCAGAUUCAGUUGCACUGCACCUCUGAAGGCGGCACUCAUUACUGUCCCAACUACGGAAAAAUUAAAGAAGAUGAAAACCGGAGACAGCAGCAAGAGGAGGAGAGAAGACGUCAGGAACGACAAAUCGAAGAAGAUAACAAACGGAGACAGCAAGAAGAGGAGAGAAGACGUCUGGAACGUUUGGAACGUGAACAAAGGAUUCAACAGGAGCUGGACAGAGAGAGUGAACUGUCCAGACGCAAGCUUUCUCGAGCAACUGAGCGGCUUCGUGAAAAACAGAGCUUCAGAGGUCAUGAGAAACAUCAUGAACGUAUACAAGUUCUCCAACAGCAAAUAGAAGAUGAUGCUGCUGCGAUCGAGAGGAACGAGGUUAUCGAUAUCGAAGAAAAAUUCAACAACCUUUUAUUUAAGUAUCAGAUCACAGAAGAUAAAGAAAUACAGCAGCACCAAAUUUGGAGCAGGAUUAAGAUACUCCUGAAUGAAGUUGCAGUUCAAUAUUGUAGAGAAAACAACCUUUCACUAUGGUCUCAGUUUACCUUUGAUCAAGCUGUAAGAUAUAACGAACUGUCUCUUACAGAGAAGCUCACAGUUCUUGAGGCAUCUCUACAGUUCAUUAUGCACAGUAGCACUGAAGAUGCUAAAGAUGACGAAGAUCAGCCGCUUGGUUGGGAGAAGUACCACUUUUUCUUGGGUUUGUUGGAGCAGCUUCAUUUCACAAGUCCAACUUUGGCCGAACACAUUUUAUUAAAUGUACUUGACACAAUCUCAGAGCUUUCACCCAAAAGUAGGGACAUUUUGGGUCAAAUGUUGUUCAACAGAAUCUGGACACCAACAGAAAUAAUGCUCUUACUUUGCAGAAGUCCAACUAUCAAAUGCCAUCAACUCGAUUCAGUUCUCCACACAGCACAAACCUACCACCUGGACUGCAUCCUCGUUAUCUCUGCUCUUAUGAAUGAAAACACUUUAAACUUUCUUCAAGAACAAAUAAAAAACGACAAGGAAAAAGAUGCUGAUACAAUUGUGAAGGAACUUCAUGAAGCAAACUGCCCAGAGAAAGUCUUGGUGCCUUUGAAUGAUGUGCUCAGAUACAUGCAGUUGGAACUCCCAAAAUAUCAACUGGUGGACCUAACCAAAGAACAAAUUGCUGAAUUGAAAGGAAAGAUAAGAUCUCUUAAUUUUACAAACCUAGAUAUAAACCUUUUGAAAGACAUAUUAAUUGGGAUGUCAAUAGCAGUGCAAGACUGCUCAACAAUCAUCACAGCAGACAAUGUGAAAAUUGAAGGAUAUUUUCCAAGACUUACACAACUAGCAUCAUUGCUUUUGCUUCUUCUGACAGAAAAUAAAGGAUGUCUCCUAGAGAUUGGCACAGGUGAGGGCAAGUCCUGUAUCUUAGCCAUGUUUGCAACAAUUUUUGAAAUGUUUGGUGUCACCUCAUCUGUAGUACCCCCACAUUACUCAAGUGACUAUUCACCAGAGAAACAAGAGGAAUGUCUUAAAGAUGCUUACCGGCAGCAAAUAGUAUACAGCACAGUGGGAGCCUUUGCAGCAGACACACUAAAACAGGAAUUUGAGAAGAGGACAACUCGCGGUACAAGGCAGUUUGAGCUUGUAAUAGUGGAUGAAGUGGACUAUAUGACCUUGGACAAUGGAGUUCAAGUAACAUUCUUGUCCCAUGAAUCUAGUGGAUUCAGGCAUGUGGAGCAAGUGCUUUCCAACAUAUGGGCCAUGAUAUCUAGUUGCCAACCAAUUGAAAUGCUUGAAACAGGAGAGGUAAAAUGGGCCACAAGGAUACAAUACUUUCAUAAAGCCAUAACGGCAGCCAUUAUGGGACUAGAAACAUCAGACAACUUUUCUGCAAAUGAGAUCUUAUUGCCCGGAGUGACUCUGGGAUUCUACACCCACGAAGAUAUUGAAAUGAUACAUCAAGCUGAGAGUAAGAAAGAAAAUGAAGGUAAUGGGAAUGAAGACAGAAUGUCCAAAACAUUAUCUGAAGUCAUGAAAAAACUGGGAGUUUCACAACAGUAUGAUCUCUUGGGUAUAUUUGAGGAGGUCUUGGAAAACAGUGUGGUGUUUAAGUGCUAUUCUUUAGAGAACAAGAAAGCCAAAUGUUUUGACGCUCAGGAAAAACAAGGUGACCUUAAAGUUGAAAUGCUCCUGCUGGAAGGAGGACUGGCAUGUGAAAUCAUGUCUGAGAAAUCACUCAUUGAUGCAACUGUAAGCACAAUAAAGUCAUCUAUCAAGUACUCAGAUAACCUCCAGACAGCCAAAGAAUCCAACAACUUCAUUAUCAUCCCUGUUUUCUUAAAAAGCUAUGUUGAGAAUCAGUUACUGGUGUUUGUCGAAAAUGCACUGAAGGCUGUUGAGAUGACGCGUGGCAGAGAAUACAUGAUCGACACCUCGCCGGCUGCUGAAAGAGACAUCGCCAACAGUCAAGACAGAGACAAGUAUAAUGCAGUAAUUCCAGUGGACUUCAAAGCAAGCGGUGUGCUGGAGAAAAACAAGAAGUGGGGUAAUGGUCUGCAACAAUUUUUAGAGUUCAAGCACCAACUCGCGAUUUCACCGAUAUCCAAUGUGACAAAUUACAUGUCAAAUUUCCAUUAUUUUAAAAGGUACCUCAGUGGGAGAGGUAUAUUUGGUGUUUCUGGUACAUUAGGAGGUAAAGCAGAUCAGGAUUUUCUGGCAAGACAUUAUAAAGCAACAUGCAACAAUUUUUAG